rfam:Myotis lucifugus cont2.18250, whole genome shotgun sequence.
AGAGGCUCUCCGUGGCCCGGGUGGAACGCUUGCCUCGUUGCUGCGGCGAUGAAGCGAGCAUUCCACCAGGCCACUCAUUCUGCUCGC